CAGUAGCCACGGGAAUACGUAGGGUGCAAGCGUUAAUCGGAAUUACUGGGCGUAAAGCGCGCGCAGGCGGUUCUAUAAGACAGAUGUGAAAUCCCCGGGCUCAACCUGGGAACUGCAUUUGUGACUGUAGAGCUGGAGUGCGGCAGAGGGGGAUGGAAUUCCGCGUGUAGCAGCGAAAUGCGUAGAUAUGCGGAGGAACACCGAUGGCGAAAGCACUCUGCUGGGCCGACACUGACACUGAGAGACGAAAGCUAGGGGAGCAAAUGGGAUUAGAUACCCCAGUAGUCCCUGUCUCUUAUAC
rnacentral:rRNA from 1 species